rnacentral:tRNA from 1 species
CCCCUGGUGGGGUUCCCGAGCGGCCAAAGGGAGCAGACUGUAAAUCUGCCGUCAUCGACUUCGAAGGUUCGAAUCCUUCCCAGCGAG